rnacentral:tRNA from 1 species
GGGGCCGUAGCUCAGUUGGGAGAGCGCAGCGUUCGCAAUGCUGAGGUCGUCGGUUCGAUCCCGAUCGGCUCCACCA